AUUGAACGCUGGCGGCAUGCCUUACACAUGCAAGUCGAACGGUAACAGGUCUUCGGAUGCUGACGAGUGGCGAACGGGUGAGUAGUACAUCGGAACGUGCCCAGUAGUGGGGGAUAGCCCGGCGAAAGCCGGAUUAAUACCGCAUACGACCUACGGGUGAAAGCGGGGGACCGUAAGGCCGCGCGCUAUUGGAGCGGUCGAUGUCAGAUCAGGUUGUUGGUGGGGUAAAAGCCUACCAAGCCGACGAUCUGUAGCUGGUCUGAGAGGACGACCGGCCACACUGGGACUGAGACACGGCCCAGACUCCUACGGGAGGCAGCAGUGGGGAAUUUUGGACAAUGGGGGCAACCCUGAUCCAGCAUGCCGCGUGCGGGAAGAAGGCCUUCGGGUUGUAAACCGCUUUUGUCAGGGAAGAAACGCUCUGGGCUAAUACCCCGGGGUAAUGACGGUACCUGAAGAAUAAGCACCGGCUAACUACGUGCCAGCCGCCGCCGUAACAC
rnacentral:rRNA from 1 species